GGGCUAAUGAUGAUAACAUAAAUUAUCUUAGCGGAUUUCAGUGAGGUGGAAUUAAUUUUCAUCAACGAUCUGAAUGUUACACACACUGAAGCCU